rnacentral:rRNA from 1 species
AGGGCACCACCAGGAGUGGAGCCUGCGGCUUAAUUUGACUCAACACGGGAAAACUCACCCGGCCCGGACACUGGAAGGAUUGACAGAUUGAGAGCUCUUUCUUGAUUCAGUGGGUGGUGGUGCAUGGCCGUUCUUAGUUGGUGGAGUGAUUUGUCUGGUUAAUUCCGAUAACGAACGAGACUCUAGCCUAUUAAAUAGAUCGUUGGCUUACAAACGCCGGCGAGACUUCUUAGAGGGACUGGCGGCGAUUCAGCCGCACGAAACAGAGCAAUAACAGGUCUGUGAUGCCCUUAGAUGUCCGGGGCCGCACGCGCGCUACACUGAAGUGAUCAGCGUGCAUUUUGAAACCUACUCUGUCAAGAGUGGGGAACCCAAUGAACCUUCUUCGUGAUUGGGAUAGGGGAUUGUAAUUAUUCCCCUUGAACGAGGAAUUCCCAGUAAGCGCGAAUCAUAAGUUUGCGCUGAUUACGUCCCUGCCCUUUGUACACACCGCCCGUCGCUACUACCGAUUGAAUGUUU